rnacentral:lncRNA from 1 species
UUGGAAAGUAGGUCUGCGUAUAUCCUUCCCUAUAAUUAACAACAACCAUGCAUGCAUUCUCAUCUUCCUCCAUUUACUACAAUUUUCACUUAAAUUCUUCCUCUCCCAUCAGCACCACCCUCAGCCACCUUUUAAUUAAUCAUAUAAAUAAUGAACCCUAAUAGUCUAAAACCAGUGCUUAAUUAAACACAUGCACGAUUUCUUAUUAAUUCAGCCGAUUUUUUGUUGUAAAAACUCAGCGUCUUUUCUGGUUGAUAUCAAGUUUCAUGUCGGGUGUACAUCAAUUACUAUUACAAACAUCACUAAUAUUAUAACUAAUUAAGUGUUGGGAAUGCAAGUGUGAGUCUAAGUCCCACAUUGAAUAGAAAUGAGAAAGUAGAACACUUAAGAUUUUGGAUAGAGAGUGAUGUCAAUUCUUUAUAUGGUUGAACUCAUAUCUCAUUGAUGAUUGUAUCUCUCUGGUGAACCUCCUCCUUGAUAAACCCAACAUUAAGAACUAAGUAUUUAAUUUAUAAAAAAAAAAAAAAAAAUAUGCAAUGAGAUCUUGUCCUUUGAAAUGAGAUCCUGGGGAUGAUCUGAGUAGAAAGUUGAAAAGCAAUAAAGUAUGUGUAGAUUAUGUAUUCAUGAUUUAAAUCUGCACCACAAGUCACCUCAACGUUAUCUUCCACCUCAAUCACAACCACGAUUGUGCAGACAGAGAUGGAGUCUCCAACCUUUUACCAGGUCAUUUCGAAUACAGUCAUAAAAACCAAAACAAAAAACAUAUUCACUAAUAUUAAAUAAUUUCAAACACUGUAACGUCGUCC